rnacentral:rRNA from 1 species
GGGUGCGAUCAUACCAGCACUAAUGCACCUGAUCCCAUCAGAACUCCGCAGUUAAGCGUGCUUGGGCGAGAGUAGUACUAGGAUGGGUGACCUCCUGGGAAGUC